rnacentral:lncRNA from 1 species
CCGUGGAGAAUUUGAUUUGCUGUGAAAGAGAUGUAAAAACCUUAAAAAUUGAAGUUUUCUAAGUUGCCAUGGAAUUGAUGAUUGUUACUCAUCUUUUAUUCAAUGUUUGCAACGUUGUUCAAUAAUUCUUACUCACAACUUGUAGGAGUGUGGUUGAUAGCAUUUGGGUGAAAGACAGUAUUUUGCUUUUGAGAUAAUUGAAAUACAAUAUUAAAGCGUAUUUCGUGAAAUUUCACGAGAAAGUGAUUCGCUAUAUAUAGCACCACUCUAAUUAUUAUUGUUUUCUUAAUUAUUAGUAUUAUCACCUAAUUAUAUGUCAUUUUCUCAAAUUAUUAUUGAUGUCAACAUGUAGUGUCUCUGUCGUGUCCGGUGUCCCUGUAUGUGUUCAUAGAAGUUAGUUCAAUUAAUAAGAGUUGACUUAUAUUUUGCAAGGGCCGGCGUAAAUCUGUUGACACCUGUUAUGAUCUUAGUGAGUCCUGAGAUCCAAUUCACCACAAAUUUGAUUCUUCUUUGAAACUCUUUGGACGGGUAAAAUUCACUGUCAAAAUAGCUGAAGGAAUGAGAUGUAGGGGAUCAGAUUCUUUCCCAAAAGCACUCAUCAUUAGAGAACUAAUUGAGUUUUGUGUUGCUAUCUUUNNN